GGAUUGGUAGCUCAGUUGGUAGAGCAGAGGACUGAAAAUCCUCGUGUCGCUGGUUCGAUUCCAGUCUGGUCCA
rnacentral:tRNA from 1 species